UGCAUGAAGUCGGAAUUGCUGUAAUCNCGGAUCAGCAUGCCGCGGUGAAUACGUUCCCGGGCCUUGUACACACCGCCCGUCACACCAUGGGAGCCGGUAAUACCCGAAGUCAGUAGUCCAACCUCGUGAGGACGCUGCCGAAGGUAGGAUUGGCGACUGGGGUGAAGUCGUAACAAGGUAAC
rnacentral:rRNA from 1 species